rnacentral:lncRNA from 1 species
CAGGGAUUGUGUUUAAAGUAGUGCUUCUACCAACAUGUCCCGUGGUUCCAGCGCCGGUUUUGACCGCCACAUUACCAUUUUUUCACCCGAGGGUCGGCUCUACCAAGUAGCAUGGACUUCUGUGGUUAAUUCCACACAGGCACUCGAAGCCUGCUAUAUACCAGACACUGCUAGUCCUAGGAGAUACAAAUGUGAAUGUUACACCCUCUUCUAUACUGAAGCUCACAGCUUAGAGUGACAGAUACGUUAAACAAACGGAUAAAAAAAAUUAAAAGUGCCAAUUUACAAAUAUCUACAGAGUUCAAGACAUCUUUGGGAAUCUGAUAGAAUGAGUGACUCAAUUCUAGAGCUGCUCUUGAGAUUGGCAUCCCCUUUUUACCCACAUCUGUUUGAAUGCUCCUGUAAUUUAAAUGCCGAUUCUGAGUUGUAGAUGAGAAUAUGCUUUUAAGGCUAUUAACCAGGGUGGCCUUACAUCAGUAGCUGUCAGAGGGAAAGACUGUGCAGUAAUUGUCACACAGAAGAAAGUACCUGACAAAUUAUUGGAUUCCAGCACAGUGACUCACUUAUUCAAGAUAACUGAAAACAUUGGUUGUGUGAUGACCGGAAUGACAGCUGACAGCAGAUCCCAGGUACAGAGGGCACGCUAUGAGGCAGCUAACUGGAAAUACAAGUAUGGCUAUGAGAUUCCUGUGGACAUGCUGUGUAAAAGAAUUGCCGAUAUUUCUCAGGUCUACACACAGAAUGCUGAAAUGAGGCCUCUUGGUUGUUGUAUGAUUUUAAUUGGUAU